rnacentral:lncRNA from 1 species
UUUUUUUUUUUUUUUCCCUUCAGUGAGGGGUAGUUUUGAGACAGGAUCUUGCUGUGUGGCCUGGGCUAGCCUCGAAUUCACAGUGAUCUUCCUGCCUCAGCCUCCCCAGUGCUGGGAUCACAAGUGUGCGCCACCACACCCAGCUCAGCCCUCGAUUUUCAAGGAGUGCUCUCUCCUCAUCCAGAGUAACUUCGUUUCUGCCCGCUUCGUGUCUGGGGGGCCCUGGCUGGGCAGCUCCCCACGUCACUCCCGCCCUGAAACACGGCUCUAGCCAACCUGCUUCGCUGCUUCACCUGCGACCGGCUCUGCGGGGGCUGCACGGCGCCAGCCCCGCCCGCCCGCC